rnacentral:rRNA from 1 species
GCAUAUCAAUAGCGGAGGAAAAGAAACCAACAGGGAUUGCCUCAGUAACGGCGAGUGAAGCGGCAACAGCUCAAAUUUGAAAUCUGGCCUCUGGCCCGAGUUGUAAUUUGCAGAGGAUGUUUCUGGCGAGGUGCCUUCCGAGUUCCCUGGAACGGGACGCCAUAGAGGGUGAGAGCCCCGUACGGUUGGUCGCUAAGCCUCUGUGAAACUCCUUCGACGAGUCGAGUAGUUUGGGAAUGCUGCUCUAAAUGGGAGGUGUACGCCUUCUAAAGCUAAAUAUAGGCUAGAGACCGAUAGCGCACAAGUAGAGUGAUCGAAAGAUGAAAAGCACUUUGAAAAGAGGGUUAAAUAGUACGUGAAAUUGUUGAAAGGGAAGCGCUCUUGACCAGACUUGCGCCGGUUGAUCAUCCACCGUUCUCGGUGGUGCACUCUGCCGGCUCAGGCCAGCAUCAGUUCGGCUUGGGGGAUAAAGGCUUCGGGAAUGUGGCUCUCUCCGGGGAGUGUUAUAGCCCGUUGCGUAAUACCCUGGGCCGGACUGAGGUUCGCGCAUCUGCAUGGAUGCUGGCGUAAUGGUCAUCAGUGACCCGUCUUGAAACACGGACCAAGGAGUCGUCUUCGUAUGCGAGUGUUCGGGUGUCAAACCCCUACGCGUAAUGAAAGUGAACGUAGGAGAGAGCUUCGGCGCAUCUCCGACCGAUCCUGAUGUUCUCGGAUGGAUUUGAGUAAGAGCAUACGGGGCCGGACCCGAAAGAAGGUGAACUAUGCCUGUAUAGGGUGAAGCCAGAGGAAACUCUGGUGGAGGCUCGCAGCGGUUCUGACGUGCAAAUCGAUCGUCAAAUAUGGGCAUGGGGGGCGAAAGACUAAUCGAACCUUCUAGUAGCUGGGUUUCCGCGA